UCCGACCUCAGAUCGGACGAGAUUACCCGCUGAAUUUAAGCAUAUAACUAAGCGGAGGAAAAGAAACUAACAAGGAUUCCCYCAGUAACGGCGAGUGAAGCGGGAAUAGCCCAGCACCGAAUCCCUCAGUGUCAUGCUGACGGGAACUGUGGUGUGUGGGACGCCACCAGUCGCAUCAGAGGGCGCCGAAGUCCUCCUGAUCGGGGCUUCACCCAGAGCGGGUGUAAGGCCUUUGCGGGUGCCUCUCUGUGCGGCCGCGAGCGUCUCAGGAGUCGGGUUGUUUGGGAAUGCAGCCCAAAGCGGGUGGUAAACUCCA
rnacentral:rRNA from 1 species